rnacentral:misc_RNA from 1 species
UUGGAUAGCUAGUGUUUGUAGGCUCCGUGCUCGCGCAUCGAACUACAUACCACCUAUCCUUCUCAGUUGCUUCGCGAGUAAAAUUAAGCUCGUUGAUGAGAUCUGGGGCUUGUGUUGCGUACCUAACUAGAAGGAAUUAUUGAGUUUGGCUUCACACGUUGUUCGUGGCAUCUCCCUCAACGGGGGAAGUCGUGAACACAAUAAUUGGCACUUGUGAUCCUUGCGUCCUGGCACCAAAAAUGCUGUGUUCGCAAAGGUGAACAAGUUGUCGGUUGAAAUCUCGGAUGCGGAAAGAUUAUGGACGGUGACUCGAAGUGAUUCUGUCCCGCCAAAGCACGUUUGUCCUCGGAC